rnacentral:rRNA from 1 species
GACGAACGCUGGCGGCGUGCUUAACACAUGCCAGUCGAACGGAAAGGCCCUGCUUUUGGGGGGUGCUCGAGUGGCGAAGGGGUGUGUAACACGUGAGUAACCUGCCCCUGACUUUGGGAUAACUUCAGGACACGGGGGAUAAUACCGGAUAGGAGCUCCUGCUGGAUGGUGGGGGUUGGAAAUUUUCGGCGGUUGGGGAUGGACGCGCGGUUUAUCAGCUUGUUGGGGGGGUAGUGGCUUACGAAGGCUUUGACGGGUAGCCGGCCUGAGAGGGUGACCGGCCACAUUGGGACUGAGAUGCGGCCCAGACCCCUACGGGGGGGAGGAGGGGAGAAUAUUGCAAAAGGGGCGGAAGCCUGGUGGAGAAACGCCGCGGGCGGGAUGACGGCUUUCGGGGUGUAAACCGCUUGCGCCGGAGGCGAAGCGUGGGGGAGGUUAAUGGAUAAAGAAGCACCGCUUACCUACGG